rnacentral:rRNA from 1 species
GACGAACGCUGGCGGCGUGCUUAACACAUGCAAGUCGAACGGAAAGGCCCUGCUUUUGUGGGGUGCUCGAGUGGCGAACGGGUGAGUAACACGUGAGUAACCUGCCCUUGACUUUGGGAUAACUUCAGGAAACUGGGGCUAAUACCGGAUAGGAGCUCCUGCUGCACGGGGGGGGUUGGAAAGUGUCGGCGGUUGGGGAUGGACUCGCGGCUUAUCAGCUUGUUGGUGGGGUAGUGGCUUACAAAGGCUUUGACGGGUAGCCGGCCUGAGAGGGUGACCGGCCACAUUGGGCCUGAGGUACGGCCCAGACUCCUACGGGAGGCAGCGGUGGGGAAUAUUGCGCAAUGGGCGGAAGCCUGAUGCAGCAACGCCGCGUGCGGGAUGACGGCCUUCGGGUUGUAAACCGCUUUCGCCUGUGACGAAGCGUGAGUGACGGUAAUGAGUAAAGAAGCACCGGCUAACUACGUG